GCCGGAUGCAGUGGUGCAUGCCUGUAAUCCCAGCGCCUCAGGAGGCUGAGGCAGGAAGAUCGCUGAAUUCAAAGCUAGCCUCAGCAACUUUACAAGGCACUUAGAAACUCAGUGAGACCCUGUCUCUA
rnacentral:sRNA from 1 species